GAGGGUAUAGCUCAGUGGUAGCGUGCGUGAUGAGCAUGCAUGAGGUCCUGGGUUCAAUCCUCAGUACCUCCA
rnacentral:tRNA from 1 species